UAGAAGUACUCGUCGAUUGCUGUCCAGAAUCAACAGAUUAUUGGAAGAUUUAGGUAUCAACCUUGCGGUGUUUCUUCUCGUCUUUGCCAGUAUCAGAUAAUCCAAAACAUCCGGCCAGCUCGGCGUUUGACCUCUCAAUGGCAACGUUUGUAGAACCCUACAAGGAAGGACACAAGAAAAUGUUAUAAAAAGCACUUUGAUUGUAAAAUUCGGGAGAAAAAAAGAUUUUACUAUAAUAGUAAGAAAAUCACUCAGGCUUCGUUAAAACCUUUCUCCCGUGGCAAAAACCAUUCGAUGCCGUAAGUUAGGACUACAGUGACCCAACGACACCAGCCCCUUGAAGGUGGCAGUCACGACAUUAGAUAAUCAGCAUCCCGUUUGACUGGAGAAACUACCGAUGUCGGACGAGUAUCUCUUCUUCUCUCUUUCUUUAAAUGUCUUCGUGUAUGCCCAUGUGAGUGUGGGUGUAUUCACGAGGACACCCUUUUUCUCGACUGGUGGAUUCAACUCUUCAGCGGAUGAAACACUUGUGUAUGGAUGCCUGGCCAUAUAUCCCAAGCUUAUAAAGAUGAGAGCCAGAGGAGAAAUAGAAUGAAAGCUCGAAAAAUUGAUGGGACAAGGUGUCGAACUCUACUCUCGCCAGCCUUUAGCGUCAAACGUUAUCAUCCUUAAAUCUCUCAACGCAUCUCCACUGCCUAGUUAGUUAAAGGAAAAGUUAAACUUCAUUUUAAUUUAGUUUAUCGUCGCUGCUCUCUUGGCCGAUGCUGUCGCCGCUCCUUCCGGCUACCAAUCAACCCAUAGAGAUUCCAGUUACAUGACGUCUCCCAGCAACGCUUCUUCCGGCUACAACAAGGACAGCAAAUAUGGCGGAAUCACCAUCACCAGCCAACACGACGUCCGCAAUCUCGACGGAAGCUGCAAAUG